rnacentral:rRNA from 1 species
GAGUUUGAUCGUGGCUCAGAUUGAACGCUGGCGGCAUGCCUUACACAUGCAAGUCGAACGGCAGCACGGGAGCUUGCUCCUGGUGGGCGAGUGGCGAACGGGUGAGUAAUGCAUCGGAACGUAUCCUGGAGUGGGGGAUAACGUAGCGAAAGUUACGCUAAUACCGCAUAUUCUGUGAGCAGGAAAGCGGGGGACCUUCGGGCCUCGCGCUCUUGGAGCGGCCGAUGUCGGAUUAGCUAGUUGGUGAGGUAAAGGCUCACCAAGGCGACGAUCCGUAGCAGGUCUGAGAGGAUGAUCUGCCACACUGGAACUGAGACACGGUCCAGACUCCUACGGAGGCAGCAGUGGGGAAUUUUGGACAAUGGGGGCAACCCUGAUCCAGCCAUGCCGCGUGAGUGAAGAAGGCCU